AAGGAGAGUUUGAUCCUGGCUCAGGACGAACGCUGGCGGCGUGCUUAACACAUGCAAGUCGAACGGAAAGGUCUCUUCGGAGACACUCGAGUGGCGAACGGGUGAGUAACACGUGGGCAAUCUGCCCUGCACACCGGGAUAAGCCUGGGAAACUGGGUCUAAUACCGGAUAGGACCACUUGGCGCAUGCCUUGUGGUGGAAAGCUUUUGCGGUGUGGGAUGGGCCCGCGGCCUAUCAGCUUGUUGGUGGGGUGACGGCCUACCAAGGCGACGACGGGUAGCCGGCCUGAGAGGGUGUCCGGCCACACUGGGACUGAGAUACGGCCCAGACUCCUACGGGAGGCAGCAGUGGGGAAUAUUGCACAAUGGGCGCAAGCCUGAUGCAGCGACGCCGCGUGGGGGAUGACGGCCUUCGGGUUGUAAACCUCUUUCACCAUCGACGAAGGUCCGGGUUCUCUCGGAUUGACGGUAGGUGGAGAAGAAGCACCGGCCAACUACGUGCCAGCAGCCGCGGUAAUACGUAGGGUGCGAGCGUUGUCCGGAAUUACUGGGCGUAAAGAGCUCGUAGGUGGUUUGUCGCGUUGUUCGUGAAAUCUCACGGCUUAACUGUGAGCGUGCGGGCGAUACGGGCAGACUAGAGUACUGCAGGGGAGACUGGAAUUCCUGGUGUAGCGGUGGAAUGCGCAGAUAUCAGGAGGAACACCGGUGGCGAAGGCGGGUCUCUGGGCAGUAACUGACGCUGAGGAGCGAAAGCGUGGGGAGCGAACAGGAUUAGAUACCCUGGUAGUCCACGCCGUAAACGGUGGGUACUAGGUGUGGGUUUCCUUCCUUGGGAUCCGUGCCGUAGCUAACGCAUUAAGUACCCCGCCUGGGGAGUACGGCCGCAAGGCUAAAACUCAAAGGAAUUGACGGGGGCCCGCACAAGCGGCGGAGCAUGUGGAUUAAUUCGAUGCAACGCGAAGAACCUUACCUGGGUUUGACAUGCACAGGACGCGUCUAGAGAUAGGCGUUCCCUUGUGGCCUGUGUGCAGGUGGUGCAUGGCUGUCGUCAGCUCGUGUCGUGAGAUGUUGGGUUAAGUCCCGCAACGAGCGCAACCCUUGUCUCAUGUUGCCAGCGGGUAAUGCCGGGGACUCGUGAGAGACUGCCGGCCUCAACUCGGAGGAAGGUGGGGAUGACGUCAAGUCAUCAUGCCCCUUAUGUCCAGGGCUUCACACAUGCUACAAUGGCCGGUACAAAGGGCUGCGAUGCCGCGAGGUUAAGCGAAUCCUUUUAAAGCCGGUCUCAGUUCGGAUCGGGGUCUGCAACUCGACCCCGUGAAGUCGGAGUCGCUAGUAAUCGCAGAUCAGCAACGCUGCGGUGAAUACGUUCCCGGGCCUUGUACACACCGCCCGUCACGUCAUGAAAGUCGGUAACACCCGAAGCCAGUGGCCUAACCCUCGGGAGGGAGCUGUCGAAGGUGGGAUCGGCGAUUGGGACGAAGUCGUAACAA
rnacentral:rRNA from 1 species